rnacentral:rRNA from 1 species
CAAUAGCGUAUAUUAAAGUUGUUGCGGUUAAAAAGCUCGUAGUUGGAUUUCUGCUGAGAACGACCGGUCCGCCCUUUGGGUGUGUAUCUGGCUCUUUCUUGGCAUCUUCUUGGUGAACGUUGCUGCACUUGACUGUGUGGAGCGCUACCCAGGACUUUUACUUUGAGGAAAUUAGAGUGUUUCAAGCAGGCAUACGCCUUGAAUACAUUAGCAUGGAAUAAUAAGAUAGGACCUCGGUUCUAUUUUGUUGGUUUCUAGAGCUGAGGUAAUGAUUAAUAGGGAUAGUUGGGGGCAUUCGUAUUUAACUGUCAGAGGUGAAAUUCUUGGAUUUGUUGAAGACGAACAAAAGCGAAAGCAUUCGCCAAGAAUGUUUUCUUUAG